AUUGAACGCUGGCGGCAUGCCUUACACAUGCAAGUCGAACGGCAGCACGGGAGCAAUCCUGGUGGCGAGUGGCGAACGGGUGAGUAAUGUAUCGGAACGUGCCCAUUCGUGGGGGAUAACGUAGCGAAAGCUACGCUAAUACCGCAUACGAUCUAUGGAUGAAAGCGGGGGAUCGCAAGACCUCGCGCGAUUGGAGCGGCCGAUAUCAGAUUAGGUAGUUGGUGGGGUAAAGGCUCACCAAGCCGACGAUCUGUAGCUGGUCUGAGAGGACGACCAGCCACACUGGGACUGAGACACGGCCCAGACUCCUACGGGAGGCAGCAGUGGGGAAUUUUGGACAAUGGGCGCAAGCCUGAUCCAGCAAUGCCGCGUGCAGGAUGAAGGCCUCCGGGUUGUAAACUGCUUUUGUACGGAACGAAACGGCGAGCUCUAAUACAGUUUGCUAAUGACGGUACCGUAAGAAUAAGCACCGGCUAACUACGUGCCAGCCGCCGCCGUAA
rnacentral:rRNA from 1 species